rnacentral:rRNA from 1 species
GUGCCAGCCGCCGCGGUAAUACGUAGGGUGCGAGCGUUGUCCGGAUUUACUGGGUGUAAAGGGUGCGUAGGCGGCUCUGCAAGUCAGGUGUGAAAACUAUCGGCUCAACUGAUAGACUGCAUUUGAAACUGUGGAGCUUGAGUGAAGUAGAGGCAGAUGGAAUUCCUGGUGUAGCGGCGAAAUGCGUAGAGAUCGGGAGGAAUACCAGUGGCGAAGGCAGUCUGCUGG